rnacentral:rRNA from 1 species
GAUGAACGCUGGCGGCGUGCCUAAUACAUGCAAGUCGAGCGAACAGACGAGGAGCUUGCUCCUCUGACGUUAGCGGCGGACGGGUGAGUAACACGUGGAUAACCUACCUAUAAGACUGGGAUAACUUCGGGAAACCGGAGCUAAUACCGGAUAAUAUAUUGAACCGCAUGGUUCAAUAGUGAAAGACGGUUUUGCUGUCACUUAUAGAUGGAUCCGCGCCGCAUUAGCUAGUUGGUAAGGUAACGGCUUACCAAGGCGACGAUGCGUAGCCGACCUGAGAGGGUGAUCGGCCACACUGGAACUGAGACACGGUCCAGACUCCUACGGGAGGCAGCAGUAGGGAAUCUUCAGCAAUGGGCGAAAGCCUGACGGAGCAACGCCGCGUGAGUGAUGAAGGUCUUCGGAUCGUAAAACUCUGUUAUUAGGGAAGAAAAAAUGUGUAAGUAACUAUGCACGUCUUGACGGUACCUAAUCAGAAAGCCACGGCUAACUACGUG